rnacentral:rRNA from 1 species
CGUUCCCGGGCCUUGUACACACCGCCCGUCACACCACGAAAGUUGGUAACACCCGAAGCCGGUGGCCUAACCCGCAAGGGAGGGAGCCGUCGAAGGUGGGAUCAGCGAUUGGGGUG